AGCUAGAGACCGGCGCACGGGUGCGUAACGCGUAUGCAAUCUACCUUUCACAGAGGGAUAGCCCAGCGAAAUUUGGAUUAAUACCUCAUAGUAUAAUGAGUUGGCAUCAACACAUUAUUAAAGGCACAACGGUGAAAGAUGAGCAUACGUCCCAUUAGCUUGUUGGUAAGGUAACGGCUUACCAAGGCUACGAUGGGUAGGGGUCCUGAGAGGGAGAUCCCCCACACUGGUACUGAGACACGGACCAGACUCCUACGGGAGGCAGCAGUGAGGAAUAUUGGACAAUGGGCGCAAGCCUGAUCCAGCCAUGCCGCGUGCAGGAUGACGGUCCUAUGGAUUGUAAACUGCUUUUGCACAGGAAGAAACAACGCUACGUGUAGCGUCUUGACGGUACUGUGAGAAUAAGGAUCGGCUAACUCCGUGCCAGCAGCCGCGGUAAUACGGAGGAUCCAAGCGUUAUCCGGAAUCAUUGGGUUUAAAGGGUCCGUAGGCGGUUUAGUAAGUCAGUGGUGAAAGCCCAUCGCUCAACGGUGGAACGGCCAUUGAUACUGUUAGGCUUGAAUUAUUAGGAAGUAACUAGAAUAUCUAGUGUAGCGGUGAAAUGCUUAGAGAUUACAUGGAAUACCAAUUGCGAAGGCAGGUUACUACUAAUGGAUUGACGCUGAUGGACGAAAGCGUGGGUAGCGAACAGGAUUAGAUACCC
rnacentral:rRNA from 1 species